rnacentral:sRNA from 1 species
GGCUGGUUGAAGGCAGCGAGUUCUCGCUACUGAGUGUUUGGUCGGCUACAGAGCAGACCCUUGUUCCGUCCCCUCUUCUCACUACCAGACCUGACCAGUCUGAG